rnacentral:rRNA from 1 species
UACAGAGGUCUCGAGCGUUGUUCGGAUUCAUUGGGCGUAAAGGGCGCGUAGGCGGCGGGGUAAGUCUGGUGUGAAAUCUCGGAGCUCAACUCCGAAAUUGCACUGGAUACUGCUCUGCUAGAGGGCUGGAGAGGAGAUCGGAAUUCACGGUGUAGCAGUGAAAUGCGUAGAUAUCGGGAGGAACACCGGUGGCGAAGGCGGUUCUCUGGGACGGUACUGACGCUGAGACGCGAAAGCGUGGGGAGCGAACAGG